UGAACGCUAGCUACAGGCUUAACACAUGCAAGUCGAGGGGCAGCAUGGUCUUAGCUUGCUAAGGCCGAUGGCGACCGGCGCACGGGUGAGUAACACGUAUCCAACCUGCCGUCUACUCUUGGACAGCCUUCUGAAAGGAAGAUUAAUACAAGAUGGCAUCAUGAGUCCGCAUGUUCACAUGAUUAAAGGUAUUCCGGUAGACGAUGGGGAUGCGUUCCAUUAGAUAGUAGGCGGGGUAACGGCCCACCUAGUCUUCGAUGGAUAGGGGUUCUGAGAGGAAGGUCCCCCACAUUGGAACUGAGACACGGUCCAAACUCCUACGGGAGGCAGCAGUGAGGAAUAUUGGUCAAUGGGCGCAGGCCUGAACCAGCCAAGUAGCGUGAAGGAUGACUGCCCUAUGGGUUGUAAACUUCUUUUAUAAAGGAAUAAAGUCGGGUAUGGAUACCCGUUUGCAUGUACUUUAUGAAUAAGGAUCGGCUAACUCCGUGCCAGCAGCCGCGGUAAUACGGAGGAUCCGAGCGUUAUCCGGAUUUAUUGGGUUUAAAGGGAGCGUAGAUGGAUGUUUAAGUCAGUUGUGAAAGUUUGCGGCUCAACCGUAAAAUUGCAGUUGAUACUGGAUAUCUUGAGUGCAGUUGAGGCAGGCGGAAUUCGUGGUGUAGCGGUGAAAUGCUUAGAUAUCACGAAGAACUCCGAUUGCGAAGGCAGCCUGCUAAGCUGCAACUGACAUUGAGGCUCGAAAGUGUGGGUAUCAAACAGGAUUAGAUACCCUGGUAGUCCACACGGUAAACGAUGAAUACUCGCUGUUUGCGAUAUACGGCAAGCGGCCAAGCGAAAGCGUUAAGUAUUCCACCUGGGGAGUACGCCGGCAACGGUGAAACUCAAAGGAAUUGACGGGGGCCCGCACAAGCGGAGGAACAUGUGGUUUAAUUCGAUGAUACGCGAGGAACCUUACCCGGGCUUAAAUUGCAGAUGAAUUACGGUGAAAGCCGUAAGCCGCAAGGCAUCUGUGAAGGUGCUGCAUGGUUGUCGUCAGCUCGUGCCGUGAGGUGUCGGCUUAAGUGCCAUAACGAGCGCAACCCUUGUUGUCAGUUACUAACAGGUUCCGCUGAGGACUCUGACAAGACUGCCAUCGUAAGAUGUGAGGAAGGUGGGGAUGACGUCAAAUCAGCACGGCCCUUACGUCCGGGGCUACACAUGUGUUACAAUGGGGGGUACAGAGGGCCGCUACCACGCGAGUGGAUGCCAAUCCCAAAAACCUCUCUCAGUUCGGACUGGAGUCUGCAACCCGACUCCACGAAGCUGGAUUCGCUAGUAAUCGCGCAUCAGCCACGGCGCGGUGAAUACGUUCCCGGGCCUUGUACACACCGCCCGUCAAGCCAUGGGAGCCGGGGGUACCUGAAGUGCGUAACCGCGAGGAGCGCCCUAGGGUAAAACUGGUGACUGGGGC
rnacentral:rRNA from 1 species